rnacentral:tRNA from 1 species
GGUGCGUUCGUCUAAAUGGUUAGGACGCAACCCUUUCAAGGUUGUAAUACGGGUUCGAUUCCCGUAUGCACUA